GACGAACGCUGGCGGCGUGCUUAACACAUGCAAGUCGAACGGAAAGGCCCUGCUUUUGUGGGGUGCUCGAGUGGCGAACGGGUGAGUAACACGUGAGUAACCUGCCCUUGACUUUGGGAUAACUUCAGGAAACUGGGGCUAAUACCGGAUAGGAGCUCCUGCUGCAUGGUGGGGGUUGGAAAGUUUCGGCGGUUGGGGAUGGACUCGCGGCUUAUCAGCUUGUUGGUGGGGUAGUGGCUUACCAAGGCUUUGACGGGUAGCCGGCCUGAGAGGGUGACCGGCCAAAUUGGGACUGAGAUACGGCCCAGACUCCUACGGGAGGCAGCAGUGGGGAAUAUUGCACAAUGGGCGGAAGCCUGAUGCAGCCACGCCGCGUGCGGGAUGACGGCCUUCGGGUUGUAAACCGCUUUCGCCUGUGACGAAGCGUGAGUGACGGUAAUGGGUAAAGAAGCACCGGCUAACUACGUG
rnacentral:rRNA from 1 species